GACCUAACCCAUCAGGAGAAAUCCUGGUGGUAUGGUCAAAAUCGCAACGAGCAUAAAGAUCCCAUCAUCAGGAUCGCUCGUUGCGUUAUACAGGGAAACUUGUAUAUGGCCGUAAGGUC
rnacentral:sRNA from 1 species